GAGCCAGAGCAACUGAAGAGAUCAGAUAUAAACCACUCAACAACUGACAAUAAAACUAUUGCUAUCUACCUCUCCACCAUCCAGCCAUCCUCCACCCAUUCAUCCAUCCAACUAUCCACCACCCAUUCAUCCAUCCAUCUGCACACCCACCCACCCCCUCGUCAUCCAUCUAUCUAUCCACCCAUCCAUCCAUCACCUAUUAAUUCAUCCACCCAUUCAUCUAUCUGCCCAUCUACCCAGUGCACCCACCCAUCCAUCCAACCAUUCCUCCAUCCACCCAUCAUCCUUCUAUUUGCCCAUCCACCCAUUCAUGCAUCCACCCAUCAUCCAUCUAUCCGCCCAUCCAGCCAUCGAUCACCCAUUAAUCCAUCCUCCAACCAUUCAUCCAUCCACCUAUCCACCACCCAUUCAUCCAUCCAUCUGCCCAUCCACCCACCUAUCCAUCAUCCAUCCAUCCAUCCUCCCAUCUAUCAUCUACCCAUUAAUUCAUCCUCCACUUAUUCAUCCAUCCACCUAUCACCACCAUUCAUCCAUCCAACCAUUCAUCUAUCUGCCCAUCCAUCCACCCAUUCAUCCAUCCAUUUGCCCAUCUACCCACCCAUUAUUCAUCCAUCCACCCAUCCAUGUAUCUGCACAUCCGUCUGCCCAUUUACCCAUUCAUCCAUCCACCUGCCCAUCUACCCACCCAUCAUUCAUCCAUCCACCCAUCCAUCACCCAUUAAUUCAUCCUCCACCCAUUCAUCCAUCCACCCAUUCAUCUAUCUGCCCAUCUACCCAGUGCACCCACCCACCCAUCUAUCCACCCAUCCACCACCCAUUCAUCCAUCCUCCCGCCCAUUCACCCAUUAUCCAUCUAUCCACCCAUCAUCCAUCCAUCCAGCCAUCCAUCACCCAUUAAUCCAUCCUCCAACCAUUCAUCCAUCCACCUAUUCACCACCCAUUCAUCCAUCCAGCUAUUCUUCUAUCUGCCCAUCCACCCAUUCAUCCAUCCAUCUGUACAUCCAUCCACCCAUCCAUCACCCAUUAAUUCAUCCUCCACCCAUUCAUCCAUCCACCUAUCCACCACCUAUUCAUCCAUCUGCCCAUCCACUCAUCAUCCAUCCAUCCAUCCAUCCAUCCACCCACCCACCCAUCAUCCAUCCAUCCACCCACCUACCCAUCAUCCAUCCAUCCAUUCAUCCACCCAUCCAUCCAACCACCCACACAUUCAUUCAUACGCCCAUCCUUUUUAGGUACUCAAAUUUCAAGUUCACUUUUGAGACAUUUUCAAGACUUUUAAACAAGGUUCAAAAACAUUUAAUUCUACUUGCCUACAUUCAAAUUAGAAUUGCAGCUCUACUUCCUGUUUGCUAUGUCUAUUUAAAAUGUAGAAAUCGAAUUGGAAUUUCAAAGGCAUUCUCCUAUUAUACUCUUGAUUUAGCACCACGAUGUAUGACAAACUCCAGUAUAACAUGCUCUGCCUCUGAAAUGUCUUUCCCUUCUUCUGAUGUCACCAGUUCAGCUAAUUUUUCAUAUAGAGACACUAUCCAAAUAACGUUUUCCACUAAUGACAUGAUUUGA
ensembl:lncRNA